GGGGGAUUAGCUCAGUUGGGAGAGCGCUUGACUGGCAGUCAAGAGGUCAGGAGUUCGAACCUCCUAUUCUCCA
rnacentral:tRNA from 1 species